rnacentral:rRNA from 1 species
GAUGAACGCUGGCGGCGUGCUUAACACAUGCAAGUCGAACGGAAAGGCCCAAUCUUGUUUGGGUACUCGAGUGGCGAACGGGUGAGUAACACGUGGGUGAUCUGCCCUGCACUCCGGGAUAAGCCUGGGAAACUGGGUCUAAUACCGGAUAGGACCACCAUUUGCAUGGUGUGGUAGAAAGCUUUUCGGUGUGGGAUGAGCCUGCGGGCUAUCAGCUUGUUGGUGGGGUAAUGGCCUACCAAGGCUUUGACGGGUAGCCGGCCUGAGAGGGCGUACGGCCACAUUGGGACUGAGGUACGGCCCAGUCUCCUACGGGAGGCAGCAGUGGGGAAUAUUGCGCAAUGGGCGCAAGCCUGAUGCGGCGACGCCGCGUGGGGGAAGACGGCUUUCGGGUGGUAAACUCCUUUCGCUAGGGACGAAGCGCAAGUGACGGUACCUGGAGAAGAAGCACCGGCUAACUACGUG